rnacentral:rRNA from 1 species
CAGCCGCCGCGGUAAUACGUAGGGUCCGAGCGUUGUCCGGAAUUAUUGGGCGUAAAGGGCUCGUAGGCGGUUUGUCGCGUCGGGAGUGAAAACUUGGGGCUUAACCCCAUUCGUGCUUCCGAUACGGGCAGACUAGAGGCAGGCAGGGGAGAACGGAAUUCCUGGUGUAGCGGUGGAAUGCGCAGAUAUCAGGAGGAACACCGGUGGCGAAGGCGGUUCUCUGGGCCUGUUCUGACGCUGAGGAGCGAAAGCAUGGGGAGCGAACAGGAUUAGAUACCCUGGUAGUCCAUGCCGUAAACGUUGGGCGCUAGGUGUGGGAUCCAUUCCACGGGUUCCGUGCCGCAGCUAACGCAUUAAGCGCCCCGCCUGGGGAGUACGGCCGCAAGGCUAAAACUCAAAGGAAUUGACGGGGGCCCGCACAAGCGGCGGAGCAUGCUGAUUAAUUCGAUGCAACGCGAAGAACCUUACCUGGGUUUGACAUACACCAGAAGCCUGCAGAGAUGUGGGUCUCUUUGGACACUGGUGUACAGGUGGUGCAUGGCC